rnacentral:rRNA from 1 species
GAUGAACGCUGGCGGCGUGCCUAAUACAUGCAAGUCGAGCGAACGGACGAGAAGCUUGCUUCUCUGAUGUUAGCGGCGGACGGGUGAGUAACACGUGGAUAACCUACCUAUAAGACUGGGAUAACUUCGGGAAACUGGAGCUAAUACCGGAUAAUAUUUUGAACCGCAUGGUUCAAAAGUGAAAGACGGUCUUGCUGUCACUUAUAGAUGGAUCCGCGCUGCAUUAGCUAGUUGGUAAGGUAACGGCUUACCAAGGCAACGAUGCAUAGCCGACCUGAGAGGGUGAUCGGCCACACUGGAACUGAGACACGGUCCAGACUCCUACGGGAGGCAGCAGUAGGGAAUCUACCGCAAUGGGCGAAAGCCUGACGGAGCAACGCCGCGUGAGUGAUGAAGGUCUUCGGAUCGUAAAACUCUGUUAUUAGGGAAGAACAUAUGUGUAAGUAACUGUGCACAUCUUGACGGUACCUAAUCAGAAAGCCACGGCUAACUACGUG